ACCAGUCAGAUAUCACAAUAGCUAGCGUCAGCUGCGUGAACAGAUAUUUUUCUCUUCUCUUUUUUCUUCUUUUUUCUUGUCAGUUUUCUGCUCCUUGGAAUUGAGCUGGGACCUGCUGACGCUGAACGAUGAAGCCAUUGGAUCGACGUGUGUUGAUGGUCUCCAAGUCCAAAACUAGGUGCUCAUUGGAAACUGCUACGGAAUAGAGUGGGUCGUUUGCAUUUCAUUUCAAUGCAUCCCAGGAACGAAUAAUAGGAGGGCUGUCUCGGUCUUCCUCCGCCAACUCUACAAGAUGAUAAAUAUAGAACAUUGCCGCUUUCCCCUCUAUUACUCAUCCUACCCAUUUCUAUACCUACCAUCAAGAGGC
rnacentral:sRNA from 1 species